rnacentral:rRNA from 1 species
UACAGAGGUCUCAAGCGUUGUUCGGAUUCAUUGGGCGUAAAGGGUGUGUAGGUGGCGCCGUAAGUCGGGUGUGAAAUUUCGGAGCUUAACUCCGAAACUGCAUUCGAUACUGCGGUGCUUGAGGACUGGAGAGGAGACUGGAAUUCAUGGUGUAGCAGUGAAAUGCGUAGAGAUCAUGAGGAAGACCAGUGGCGAAGGCUGGUCUCUGGACAGUUCCUGACACUGAGACACGAAGGCCAGGGGAGCAAACAGG